UUGAAUUAGUGAGGUUGUAACUGGCUUUGACCUUUGAACUCGUUCGGGAGCAGUGAUAGAGGGAGACUGAGUGGCUGUCCCCUUUAGAAAGGUGUGUACACACACACGCACACGCACACACAUUAUGCGUGUCAUUGCACUGCGGUAGAUACGGUCAAAUGGCUUUCUUAAUUAAAACGAUAAGGUGCCUAAUUGCUCUGGGCUUUCCCGGUAUUCAGGGGCUUCAGGCAAAGGAACAGCCGACUAGUUUGGAGGGCAGGGAAAGUUCUGAAACCAAGGGACUGGUUUCACACCAACAACGUCCAAUACGCAUCGAUGAAGGGAAACAAACUCAAUGUUGCUCAAAUUCAUAGGACGAUGACUAAAACGGACUGCACAAUUGCUGUUAUAGCGUCAGAGAGCACAAGAGAGAAAAUAGAUGAACCGAUGAAAAUAAAGAAAUAAAGAGAGGUGUGGUACCAUCCCCAUCCAGCUCUAAACGACGGUGACCUACUGGCGAAACAGGUGUACAGAUGUCAUUACCUGGCAGUUUCUGUGGUUGCCUUCAGCAACAACGAUGAUGCUGCUACCGUUAUCAAGGACGAUG